AGGACGAACGCUGGCGGCGUGCUUAACACAUGCAAGUCGAGCGGAAAGGCCCUUCGGGGUACUCGAGCGGCGAACGGGCGAGUAACACGUGAGUAAUCUGCCCCUAGCUCUGGGAUAGCUCCGGGAAACCGGGAUUAAUACCAGAUACGACCACUUUAGACAUCUGUUGUGGUGGAAAGAAUUUUGGCUAGGGAUGAGCUCGCGGCCUAUCAGCUUGUUGGUGAGGUAACGGCUCACCAAGGCGACGACGGGUAGCCGGCCUGAGAGGGCGACCGGCCACACUGGGACUGAGACACGGCCCAGACUCCUACGGGAGGCAGCAGUGGGGAAUAUUGCGCAAUGGGCGAAAGCCUGACGCAGCGACGCCGCGUGGGGGAUGAAGGCCUUCGGGUUGUAAACCCCUUUCAGCAGGGACGAAGCGAAAGUGACGGUACCUGCAGAAGAAGCGCCGGCUAACUACGCGCCAGCAGCCGC
rnacentral:rRNA from 1 species